UAUAUAAUUUAAUAAAUAUAUACUAAAAUUUAAAUAUCCUGCAUUUCAAUUUUCCUUCACAAUCGGCACGAACUUUCCAAACAACCCAAUAUAAUCUUAGCUUUCUCUAUACUUCUUACAAUACUGUAUUCUGCAUGAAGGUCUGUGGGAAUCUCCUCCCCCACAUAUCUGACGAUGGAAAUUAGAGAGAGAGAAGUGUAUCGAGAUGAAGAUAUUAAUAAAUCACUGUCCAAAAUUCGUGUUUCUGAUUUCUUAUCUGUCGAUUGCUAUGCUGUAAACAAAAACUUUUUCAGGAUUAAGUCAAUAAAGAGAGAUUCGAGUUAGAGGAGCGAUACUUUGCCAUAGCGAUCCCGCUAAUGGUAAGAGAGAAGAGGAAAAAAAAAGAGUCCAAUUCCGUUAUAAGUACGAAAGCAGACGUUAGACGGGAUAUGGAUCUGCCGUUAGAAGUGGAUUAUAAAAUUUUGUCCAAUAAUUCCGAAAUGCAAUGGUCGAAAUUCAAUUCGGAAGGAUUAGGAACCUGCCACCCCAUAAAAUCCUGUACUGUACGCUUUUUUACUCCAGAAAAUCUUCAGUAAUGUAGGCAGAAAAAAUUAGUCAAGAUGAGCGUGAUAAACUAUUCGAGAAGUUGACCACAAGAUGAAGGGUUGGUUUAUCGUUAGUUACUACUGGAGAUAGUAAUUAAUAAUAAUUAUAAAAGUUUAACUACUCUGGUUGGUGUGUGUAUGAAAUUCAGCGCAUUUUCUCUCUCUCUCUCUCUCUCUCGUCUUCAUGAUGAUGAUCGGUCUAGGAAGGAUAGGUAU
rnacentral:lncRNA from 1 species